GACAGAGGGUGCAAACGUUGUUCGGAAUUACUGGGCGUAAAGCGUGUGUAGGCGGCCGCGCAAGUCGGAUGUGAAAUCCCCGGGCUCAACCCGGGAAGUGCACCCGAAACUGCGAGGCUUGAGUACCGGAGAGGUUGGUGGAAUUCUCGGUGUAGAGGUGAAAUUCGUAGAUAUCGGGAGGAACACCGGUGGCGAAGGCGGUUCUCUGGGCCUGACCUGACGCUGAGGAGCGAAAGCGUGGGGAGCGAACAGG
rnacentral:rRNA from 1 species